UUUGUUUUUUGUUGUUUUUUUUUUUUUUAAUUUAAAUUUUAAAAUUUAUUGUUUUUAAGCAGAAAAAAAGGUUCCAGUAAAGAAAGUCUCCAAAAAGGUGGUUAAAAAAGGUCCUGAAGAAGUCCCACCACCUAAAGUUCCUGAGGUGCUGCCAGAGAAGCCCAAAGAGAUCAAAAUAACAUCCAUGGCAAGGAGAGAAGAGAUUUAUGAAGAAAAGAAGGAAAUAUAUGAAAAGCCCAAAGAAAUUUAUGAAGAAUGGGAAGAAGAUUAUGGCGAAGACCAUGACUAUUAUGUCAAGGAAGAAGGCUAUGAUGAAGGGGAAGAGGAAUGGGAAGAAGCUUAUGAGAAAAGAGAAGUGAGCUAUGAAGAGAAACGAGUCAUUCAUGAAGAAGUGGUUGAAGUUCCUAAGAAGCCUGUGCCUGAGCGAAAACCACCAACAAUUACAGCUGAAAAGAAGGAAAAGAAAGAAGUAACAGUUCGUAAAGUUGUCAAGAAACCUGUUGAUGAAAAAGUGGAGAUAACCACUCAGAGGGUUGGUGAAGAAAAAGUCAAACGGGCUGAGGUUACCAAGAAAGUUGUACCACCAAAACCUACACCAAUGAUCAUUGAGGAAAAAGUUGUGAAAAAGGAAGUACCGACAGUAGAAACAUGGACUGUUUCAGAAGAAAAGAUGUCGGUUUCUGUCCACAGAGAAGAAGAGUAUUCAUAUGUCACAGAGCCAACAGAGCAUGAGAAAACAGUUGAAGAAAGAUUCUUUGAAGCUGUUUACCCAAUUGAAGGUAGAUUGAUUAAGAAUGAGAGGCUAAUCAGUAUUUAAGUUUUUUAAACAACUUUAAUCUGCAGUUAACUAAAACUCAUUG
rnacentral:lncRNA from 1 species